GAAGCUUAGAAGUUCUUGACGCGCUGUGGAAUAUCAGCAAUGUUUGAACACGAUGUUCAAACAAGCCGUCACUGAGCCAAGGAUGGCGAAUUGGCGGCGGUUGCGUACGGUUGGAAUGAUUUUAUCAGGGCGGCUAGA
rnacentral:ncRNA from 1 species